AACGAACGCUGGCGGCAUGCCUAACACAUGCAAGUCGAACGAGACCUUCGGGUCUAGUGGCGCACGGGUGCGUAACGCGUGGGAAUCUGCCCUUCGGUUGGGAAUAACUGAGAGAAAUUUCAGCUAAUACCUUAUAAUGUCUUCGGACCAAAGAUUUAUCGCCGAGGGAUGAGCCCGCGUAGGAUUAGGUAGUUGGUGGGGAAUGGCCUACCAAGCCGACGAUCCUUAGCUGGUCUGAGAGGAUGAUCAGCCACACUGGGACUGAGACACGGCCCAGACUCCUACGGGAGGCAGCAGUGGGGAAUAUUGGACAAUGGGCGAAAGCCUGAUCCAGCAAUGCCGCGUGAGUGAUGAAGGCCUUAGGGUUGUAAAGCUCUUUUACCCGGGAUGAUAAUGACAGUACCGGGAGAAUAAGCUCCGGCUAACUCCGUG
rnacentral:rRNA from 1 species